rnacentral:rRNA from 1 species
AAUGAACGCUGGCGGCAUGCCUAACACAUGCAAGUCGAACGAAGCCUUCGGGCUUAGUGGCGCACGGGUGCGUAACGCGUGGGAAUCUGCCCUUGGGUUCGGAAUAACAGUGGGAAACUACUGCUAAUACCGAAUGAUGUCGUAAGACCAAAGAUUUAUCGCCCAGGGAUGAGCCCGCGUAGGAUUAGCUAGUUGGUGUGGUAAAAGCGCACCAAGGCGACGAUCCUUAGCGGUCUGAGAGGAUGAUCAGCCACACUGGGACUGAGACACGGCCCAGACUCCUACGGGAGGCAGCAGUGGGGAAUAUUGGACAAUGGGCGAAAGCCUGAUCCAGCAAUGCCGCGUGAGUGAUGAAGGCCUUAGGGUUGUAAAGCUCUUUUACCCGGGAUGAUAAUGACAGUACCGGGAGAAUAAGCUCCGGCUAACUCCGUGCCAGCCGCCGCGGUAAC